rnacentral:rRNA from 1 species
UCAGCUUGUUGGUGGGGUAAUGGCCUACCAAGGCGACGACGGGUAGCCGGCCUGAGAGGGUGACCGGCCACACUGGGACUGAGAUACGGCCCAGACUCCUACGGGAGGCAGCAGUGGGGAAUAUUGCACAAUGGGCGCAAGCCUGAUGCAGCGACGCCGCGUGAGGGAUGACGGCCUUCGGGUUGUAAACCUCUUUCAAUAGGGACGAAGCGCAAGUGACGGUACCUAUAGAAGAAGGACCGGCCAACUACGUGCCAGCAGCCGCGGUAAUACGUAGGGUCCGAGCGUUGUCCGGAAUUACUGGGCGUAAAGAGCUCGUAGGUGGUUUGUCGCGUUGUUCGUGAAAACUCACAGCUUAACUGUGGGCGUGCGGGCGAUACGGGCAGACUAGAGUACUGCAGGGGAGACUGGAAUUCCUGGUGUAGCGGUGGAAUGCGCAGAUAUCAGGAGGAACACCGGUGGCGAAGGCGGGUCUCUGGGCAGUAACUGACGCUGAGGAGCGAAAGCGUGGGGAGCGAACAGGAUUAGAUACCCUGGUAGUCCACGCCGUAAACGGUGGGUACUAGGUGUGGGUUUCCUUCCUUGGGAUCCG